GCAGUUACCUUGUCUUAUUAGUAUAAUAACUCUGAGUUUGGCUCUUGUUUUUCAAACCCAUGUACACAUAACUUUAAAUAGUUUUUCCUUACAAAUUUCUUUUAUAUAAUCCCAUCGUUAACAUUAUAGGUCUCUGUAACCUAAUUGUAAUUAUGUAACUUCAUUUUUAAAGGUAUAUGGUUUAGAAAUUUAGAAACUUAUUAUGUAAGCCUUCCACAGGAGAACUACAGUUUUGUGCUUAUUUCCUUAUACUUUGUAAAGUGAGAUCAUUUUACCAAACAUGAAAAGUUUUCAUUUUCUCUUUAACAUCUAGAUUACAUCAGCCUAUACACUUUUUAUCCUAUACUCAAUAUCAGUUACAGCCCAUAAUAAUGAUUCUUUGUUCCUCAGAAUCUUUUGUUUUGUUUUUCUUUUUAGGGCUGCAUCUGUGGCAUCUUGGGAACCUCCAUAUGCCUUGGGUGUGGCCCUAAAAAGUGGGGGGGGGGGUUGACACAUAAUUAAUAGUAUUGUGUGUGUUCUAUUCAUAUUUUAUGAAGAGCUUUCAGGAUCACAGGCCACAGACUAUUCACUCUAUAUAUAAAAUUCAGAUCUGUGAUUCUGAUAAAUAUAAUAUUAUUUUAAAGCUUCCAGGUACUUAAUACAGUGCAUUUGUACAAUAUGAACUCAUAUACAUUUGUAAUGAAUGUAUCUCAAGGAAUACCAGAUGCAAGGUGGAUUACGAAAAUCCUGUUUUGAAUUUUUGUCUUUUAUCAGGUGCAUUGUCUCAUUGUUUAGCAGUAUUCUCUGAAUAAAUACCUUGGUUCUCAUUUAAUGAAAACUAAAAAGGUAGAAAUUAGUAGAAGCCCACAGCAUUCAAACUCAAAACUAGAAUUUAGCAAUAUCCACAUCAUAAAAUCUUCAGAAGUAAAUCUAAAUGAAAUUAGUACAAAAUGCGUUUUUCAAAUACUCUCCAAUCCCUACCCCAUCCCCACCCCUGUUUUAAUGUUGCAUGUUUAUCCUUUCCUUGUUAAUUGCUUUCUGUUAGUAGGCAAAAAAGAGAAAUAAUGCUUCAUUUGAUUAACAUAUUUUUGUUUUUCACAAAUAAGGCACUUCUAUUAAGCACUACAGAUAGUAUGAACUAUAUGGCUUAGCUUAAGACUUGUUUGGUCUCUGCCUAAUUUGAAUAUACAAUUUAGAAGGGGAAAGUUACAGCUAUGUAAGGCUAUGAAAUAUAAAGUUAUGAAAUGGCAAGUACAUAACAGGAAAAAAAAAGCCUUUUCUACUAGAGGCAAACUUUUCAGUUAUUUUGUAUUUAAAUUUUGUCGAAUACUUAGAUUUUUUUGCUUAUUAAAACCCAUUUUAUUUUAAAAUUUGGGGAGGGUAUAGUUGAUAUACAAUGUUGUAUUAGCUUCAGGCUUACUGCAAAAUAAAGCAGUUACAUAUAUACAUAGAUCCAUUAUUUUUUCCCAUAUAGAUUAUUUCAGAACAUUUAGUGAGACUUCCCUGUGCUAUAUAGCAGACCUUCUUAGUCGUCUAUUCUGUAUAAAAUGAUGUGUAUGUGCCAGUCCUGUCCUCCCAGUUUAUCCCUCCCCACCAUGAUUUUCCCUUUUGGUAACCCCAAGUUUGAUUUCAAAAUCUCUGGGUUUGGAGUUCCCGUCGUGGCUCAGCAGUUAACGAAUCUGACUAGCAUCCAUGAGAACACAGGUUCAAUCCCUGGCCUUGCUUAUUGGGUUAAGGAUCUGGUGUUGCUGUGAGCUGUGGUGUAGGUCCCAGACGUGGCUCGGAUCCUGUGGUGCUGUGGCUGUGGCGUAGGCCAGCAGCUUCAGCUCCAAUUCAACUGCUAGCCCAGACACCUCCAAUGUGCCACAGGUUUGACCCUGAAAAGCAAAAAAAAAAAAAAA
ensembl:lncRNA